CUUGCCGAGCCUUGCAACGACUCUCUAUCCAACAUGGCGCGAGGAACGACACGAAACGAUAAGAACGAGCUUGCUGCGACCGAGAAAACCGGCCGGACGCACGUCUCUCCUUCAUUUCAUUAAUACAAAAAUACGAGAUGGACAAUCGACAAAUAGAGAAUAAAAAGAAGUAUGAACAGAAGGAAACUCGACGUGAGAUGAUGGCUAGAAAAAGAUUGUAUUUAAGACAACUGUUUCAGAAGGAAUUCAUCGAACAGGAAAAACUGUUACGUCAGAUAGGCUAUGCUUUAAUUCCUACAAGACCUUGACCAUUUCUUUUAUCAUACUUUUAUAAUAAUAUUGCCUUUUCGUUUAUCUAUAAAUUUAGUAAAAAUAUAUUGUGUUAUUGGAAUAUAUCUUGUGGUAACAAUCCUGUAAAGAAAAUAUUGCCUUAGGGAGCAUUUAUUAUACGUUAAAUGUUACAUAUAUGUGUAUGCAUUUGUGGUGUAAUAUAAAUAAAAUAGAGAUAUAUCUUACAAGGUGACAAUGAGUGAAAAUAGAUUGAUUCUCCAUGCUUUCUUAGAUUUUGUAUCUUUCAUUCUUAGACUUUGGUAAAAGAGUUCGGUCCAAAAAAUUAUACAAAAUGCCAAAAGAAGGUCAAAAAGCGUAGACUCCUUUAGAAGGUC